rnacentral:lncRNA from 1 species
GGAAAAUCCCCAAAGCCAGGUCUGGACUUCUCAGAGAUCGUUGCUAUUUCCUUCCAGAUGCCUCCCAGGGUAUGCUAAAUAACAUAGAUCAGGGGAGAGACUGUGAAGAACAAGUCACAGUCACUGCUAUUAAAAUGAGCUAACUUUAGGUCAAGAUGUGUAAAUAAACAUUCAGGCAUAUGGACAAGACCCAACUCUGGAAUUAUUGAAUUACAUAUAAAGACUUAAUUCAAGUCUUUUCAUACAGGAUUGCAAAACUCCAAAGUCUACAAAGUAUUGAAGAGGAUCUGGUAAACAAAUCUAAGCAACAGACCAUGAGCUCAUGUUUGAAACGCUGGACUUUCCCUCCAGAAGACAGCCAUUCUCUGGUGUGAACACAAACAAAC